rnacentral:rRNA from 1 species
AGAGUUUGAUCCUGGCUCAGAACGAACGCUGGCGGCGUGCCUAACACAUGCAAGUCGAACGAGACCUUCGGGUCUAGUGGCGCACGGGUGCGUAACGCGUGGGAAUCUGCCCUUGGGUACGGAACAACAGUUAGAAAUGACUGCUAAUACCGUAUAAUGACUCCGGUCCAAAGAUUUAUCGCCCAGGGAUGAGCCCGCGUCGGAUUAGCUAGUUGGUGGGGUAAAAGCUCACCAAGGCGACGAUCCGUAGCUGGUCUGAGAGGAUGAUCAGCCACACUGGGACUGAGACACGGCCCAGACUCCUACGGGAGGCAGCAGUGGGGAAUAUUGGACAAUGGGCGCAAGCCUGAUCCAGCAAUGCCGCGUGAGUGAUGAAGGCCUUAGGGUUGUAAAGCUCUUUUACCCGGGAUGAUAAUGACAGUACCGGGAGAAUAAGCCCCGGCUAACUCCGUGCCAGCAGCCGCGGUAAUAC